AGAUUAUUUGAUCAGCAGCACUGGCACUCAAGGUGAUAAAGAGCUCAUCAAUAAUGUCCACUCUUCCACUUCCUCCCACCAACUGUAACCUUAUUUUUCCCUGACCUGAUAGCUUUCAUUUUUGGCCUCAAGAGCAGUUAAUUGAAAACAGAGUCCUACAUCUUGCUAAAAUCAUGUGUUCAUAGCAGCGAACAAAGCACAGAGCAGAGUUCCAAGAAAUUGUGUUUUGCUGUUAUUAAAUAUUUUUUCUUUAUUUUUCAAAGUAAAGAAAAAGAAAACAUUUUAAUAGCUAUGCUGAGUUCAGCUGCUUCUUCAACUGCAGGAAGAAGAAUGGACCCUCGGUAGUACACAAAUUGGGCUUUGGACAAAUGGGAUACUUGGUGAAGGAGAAUGCCUUGUUUUCCAACACUGUCAGGAGCUUAGACAAAGAUGUCUCCAAGAACCACGUUCUUCCCUUUGAAUUCAAAUUGCAGACAAGAAAACCACAUGCAAAUGCAAAGCAAAGAGAAUGAUGGACAUAGGAGGAGCAUACGCUGUUUCUAGGAGCCAUAGUGCUAUAUGGAAGAAUUGCAGAGCAUGGAAGAUUCUGGAAUUUUGAGAAAGAAAGUGAAGAGGUGGGAGGUCAAGGUGUUGGGUUUUAGCUCAGAGAUGGAGAGGAAAUUGAGCAGCUCAUCAAGGAGGAGGGUGCUGAUGAGGAGGGUGUGGAACCAGUGAAGGAACAAGAGGAGAAAAGUGUUAACUAGCAUUGUUUUGAAAGGUAAUGCAUGUUGGAUAUUGUUAGCACUUGCAUGCUUGGUCAUUAUAGGUUCCUUGCUAAGGUGACAAAGCUAAAGCCUGCAGAUCUGCCUUUGUAUUUGAUGAAUACCUUUCUGUCUUCAUAAUUCUAUAUUUUCACAGUUGUUUUCAAUCUUUGAAUACUCGGGCAUAUCUGUUGGUGCAUAGCUAGAACUUCAGUUAGUCUUUCUUUGAUGUUGGAACAAAGCUUUGGAGAAGAGAACUAAUUCAACAGGUGAGACAUAGUGAUUUUCAACACCAUAUCCUGUUGUUGAGUUACUUCCAAUAUUGUUGAAGAGCAGAGAAGUAGAUUAUGUUGUUGAAAGGUACCGCUUAUGGUGGUGUCUGAUCCUGCAAGUUGGAGUGAAAGUGGUCUUAUAGUAGAAAGAAACAGCAGGUAAAGCUGAAGGAGAGGACUGACAAAUGCUUAAAAGAAAAACAUAUGCUGAAAUUUGCUUCAUUAUGCUUCCUUAUAAGAGUUUAAUUAGAAUUACGUAAACAUAAUUUUCCAGAAUUUAAUUGGUAGUUUUCUUCUAUGCUUCAACAUCAAUGAACUUGUAUUUUUUGUGCUAGAGUAAUAUUUUUGUGAUAGAGUUCUAUAUCUUCUAUUGAAUAUGCAGAGCUAAAGAAGCAAAAAGUUUCUGAAGCAAGACUGGAAUUGAUGAGGCAGAAACUUUGGUUCUCUCACCACCCUCUUUUUUCUUUCUCUAUUUUUUUUAAAAAGCUGCCUUAAUUUCUCAUUAUCUCAUAUAGUCUUUUUUAAGAGGCUUUGGCUUUUAAAUAAUGACAGUAUAAAAAUCUCAUAUAAGUAAUUUUUUUUUGCUUUUGGUGCACCUAUUUGCCUUCUUAAUCUGUGAUAAUUUCUUAAUAUUUGUAGGUAUUACAAAAAAUAUCAUGGCCCAAAAGUUCAGAAGCUCUUAGAUCAAACAAGCUCAUAUUCAAUUACUAUUAUCAAGGAGUUAGGAAAAAUCACUGUUCUUAACCGAUGUUGCUCAUGUGAUAUCAUCAUAGAUAGUCCCCCUAAAUGGUUCCCAUCAAGAAUAAUUUGAUGGACUAGCAGAGGAUGAGGGAAUUUUUUUUUCGAAAAACUUUCAAAGAUGCUAUCAGUUUGUAAAAGCUAUAGAAGAAAAAACCAGCACAAUUAUUUAUUCAAAGAACUAAAAGAAAAUAGUUAUUUCACUAGGUAUGAGCCAUUAGCAACUGAAGUAGUUGAUGGUUUAUAUGAUUUAUGCUUUAAGGCAUUACAUUUUUUUUUUUAUUUUUGUUUUUGUGUUUGUGUGCUUGUGUGUAAGGAUGUUAACAUGUGCUUGAAUGUUGAUUUGUGUUACUUAAGCAUAUAUGCUUAAGUAGAAUAAAAAUGUUGAUUGUGUUGUUGUAUCAAUGACUGUGUUAGAUAACUAUACAUGUCAACU